CAUUUUUGUAAUUUCAUCAAUGCAAUUUAAUUGAUUUCUUAUUUAUGUACUAUUAGAUAUUAAUUCUUUUUGUUAUAAUCAUUUUUUUUACUCAAAAUUUAUUGGCGGCAGCCUAGCAAAGAUUCGUUGGGUUGCUUAUAGCCUUACGUUUUCUUGAAGUUGGGUUAGUUGGGUAUAGACGUAUAGUCUCUGUCAAUACUCAGUACUCAAUGCAUAAUCCCAUUGCUGGUGACGCUUUUUCUUCGUUUCAUCAUAUUUCUUGACGCUUUGGGAACUGAUAAUAUACUCUUGUUUUGUUGAUUUCAAUUCAAUAGGAAAAGUUAAUUUUAAUUUGAACCCCAAUUUUUAUAAUUACUAUCAGAUUAUCCAAUGAUUGUCACUGCAAUUCCCAAAUCCUUGAAACCCUAAAAAGGGAAAAUCAAAUAAUUAGACAAGUGGGAAACGACUAUGAAAACAGGUUCUAGAUUGAUCACUUUACCUUGUGGUUGUGGUACCAUUAUCAUUGCUGGGAAUUCCAAGAAGUCUCAAGCACAGCCAUCUAAGGAUUCUGAACCGCCUCCAAGGAUCACAUCAAAUGUAAAGCAGAAUUUGCAGUUUCUGAAGUUGUGGAAGGAGUUCCAGAAAAGAAAAUCCAGCACACCUAAGCCAGCCACUAGCUAUCGUCGCAAGAAGUUGGAGAAGGAGGACCUUCCACCAGAUACAGAACUCUACAAGGAUCCAACCUUGUCACUUUAUUAUACAAAUCAGGAUAUCGACAGUGCUGUCCCUGUCUUGCUUGUUGAUGGUUAUAAUGUCUGUGGUUACUGGGUGAAACUGAAGAAGCAUUUCAUGAAUGGACGACUUGAUGUUGCGAGGCAAAAGCUAGUGGAUGAACUUGUUCAGUUCAGCUUGGUAAGAGAAGUAAAGGUGGUGGUUGUAUUUGAUGCUAUGAUGUCUGGACUACCUACCCACAAAGAAACAUUUGCAGGGGUGGAUAUAAUUUACUCAGCAGAGUCCUGUGCUGAUGCAUGGAUAGAAAAGGAGGUUGUGGCAUUGAGGGAAGAUGGUUGCCCAAAGGUGUGGGUUGUAACGUCUGAUCUUGCUCAACAGCAUGCAGCUUAUGGAGCGGGAGCGUUUGUUUGGAGCAGCAAGGCACUAGUUUCUGAGAUCAAGUCUACAAAGAAAGAAAUGGAAAGAAUGCUUCAAGAGCAAAGAUCUACUUCCAUGCAAGGAAAGCUUCUCAAGCACAAUCUCGAUACAGAAGUUGUCGAUGCUUUAAAGGACCUCAAGAUGAAGUUGUCACAAAAUGGGUCGAAAUAGCUCUCAAAAUAAAGCUUAAUUCUUCUCCUAUCGAUCCAUAUCAGCUGCUGAAUUAUCCGGGAGAUAAUUUUCCCAUCUCCAGUAUUUGAUCAUACUUACACACACAGAAAGCAGAAUCAAAUAUAUUUGGCAUUUCCAAAAGCAGAAUAUACAACUACAGAUCCAUUUAUUGGCUUUAAAUUCCAGGCUUGUAUAGUUUAUGUUGUGCCUUUUUCAAGUUUUCAGUUAAAUUUUCAAUUAUAGCUGAUCACUUUUGUUUUUGUAAAAAAUGCAGUAUCAAUUUGUUUUGAAUAAUUGUAUUGAACAGUUGAUUAUGAGUGAAUACAACUUUUCUAAGGUUGUGAAUAGAGAUUGGAAUGGAUCUUGAACACAGUUGGAUUCCGAUUCCAGUUAUAUACUUAUAUUUAUCAGGGAGCGAAAGAAAGAUCUGCAUAUGGUGUUCAUUGACUUGGAGAAAGUGUAUGAUAGCAUAUCAUGACGUGUCAUCUAGGAUAGUCUCAAGGCCCUCAAGGCUAGAGGGAUUUCUUCAGUGUACAUUGAGGUCAUACGGGAUAUGUAUGACAGAGUUUCGACUAGCAUUCAAACAUCGGUGGGGAUAACAGAGCCUUUUCCGGUUAAAGUGGGACUACAUUAAGGAUCGGCUCUAAGCCCUUUCAUUUUUACUGUCAUAAUGGAAGAGAUUUCUAAAUCUAUUUGGGAGACGGUACCGUGGUGCAUGAUAUUCGCGGACGACAUAUUGCUGGUAGUAGAAACUAAAGAGGAGGUUAGUAACGAAUUGGAUGAGUGGAGGGAAGCUUUAGAAGGAAAAGGAUUGCGCAUUAGCCAUACGAAGACCGAGUAUUUGUGCAGUGACUUUAGUGGGACACAACCGGUAGGUGAAUCAGAGGUGUCCAUAGAGGAAACAGUUGUUAAGAGUACAACCAAGUACAAGUAUUUGGGAUCGAUCAUUCAAAGGGGUGGGGAGAUUGACGGGGAUGUAAAUCAUCGUAUACAUGCGGGUUGGCUCAAGUGGCGAGUAGCCACUGCAGUGCUGUGUGAUAAGAAAUUCCCAAGCAAGUUAAAAUGAAAAUUCUACCGAGCGGCAAUCAGACCUGCUCUACUAUAUGGGAUCGAAUGUUGGCCUCUAAAAAAGAUAUUCGAACAUAAGAUGGAAGUUACAGAAAUGCGUAUGCUGAGGUGGAUGUGUGGGCACACAUUAAUGGAUCGAAUUAAGAACCAAGAGUUUAGGGACAAACUAGGGGUAGCCCCUAUAUCUGGAAAAAUGCGCAAAAAUAAAUUGAGGUGGUUUGGUCAUGUGCAGAGAAAGACUUUCGACGCCCCUGUCAGGUGGGUAGAAAGCAUCAUAGUAGAGGGUAAAAAGGAGGCGAGGAAGACCUAGGAGAACUUGGGAUGAGCAAAUAAGUGUUGACUUGCAUGAGUUAAACCUCUCUGCGAACCUAAUUAGGGAUAGGAGUAGUUGGAGACACCAUAUCCAUGUCUUAGAAAACUGAUGUCCUUUUAGUUUACCUUUUAGUGUUCUUAACCUCUUGUUUUUAUCGUUUCCUUUCUAUUAGUUCUUUGUUUUCUUUUUGUAGUGAUCCUUCUCUUUUUUUUAGGCCUUUAAGUUAUUUUCCAUGUGUUAUUACGUCUCUUUAUCUUCG